CUGAAAUGGAGCCUUACAGAUACUAUUUCAGGGACAAUUAUUGUAUGAACCAGGAAUACAGUGGUAAGAAGUGAUAUGGUUAACCGUUAAACAGCGUCCCUACACUAAUAUACAUGAAUGCACUGCCGCGUUUCGCCAAGCAACUGAAAUAAUCAUCGCAGGAACUCGCGCAUCCGAACAGGCCUUUUCACAGCAUUUGUGAAACCCUCAUUAAACUUAAACAGUACUGGACGUGAAUCUCUUUCUAAGGUGGUUGUAGGCUGUACAGCAAUGUCAGUAUUCUCAGAACCUUUCCUACUCACUUUCCUAAACCUGUCAAAGAAGUUGGUGGAGCCAGUACAAGGCUUCUUUGCAUUCCCUGAAGAUUUUAGUUUCACAUCAGACCUGGCACUUAAAUCCAAGUUUGACAACAAUGUUGAGCCACUAGGAUUACAUUGGUUAGGAUUUAGUUUAUUCUUUCCAGUUUCUAUUUUUGCAGUGGAUAAGGCUGCACGAUCAUUUGCAGAAUUUGACUCGCUAUUCUUUCCAUCUGCUAAGUCAAUUUUUUCUUUAUUGCACCCAUCUGUUAAAUGUACAGAUCUGCUUACUUGCAAAAUAUUUUGCUUCUCAACCUCAUGAACCAAAACUUGCUUCACUGCCAAGGGAAGUACAAAAUGACCAGAAUUAUAGCCCUUAAAGUUAAUGAAGUCAAAAAUAGGCGGAUCCAAAGAAAUGGCUGAGGCAUCUAAAGUCGCUUCAUAUUCCUGGUUACAGGAAAGAGGAUUGGAUUUUAUGUUCUUGUAUGUAACGGAAUAGGAUACCAUAGUGCUCACUAACUGAGCCAGAUCAUUCCUAUCUUUUUGUGAUAGUAUGUGUAAUGCCACCGGCCUUAGAGUUGAAGGUGACAGAAUAUGUAAUAAAGGUGAAAUUGAAUCUUCUACGAGGGACUUAAUUGACAAAUGUCUUGAAAUACGUGGUGGAAUUUUGUUUUGCCAAGACCUCAAUAUGUCCAUCCUUUCCAUCAACGAUGUUCUGCAUCUUUGAUAAGAUUUUGGCCACUCAAUAUUUGGUUUUUGAGCUUGAGCUACAAGGUGGUGCACAAUAAUUGCAAGAGGAGGCUGAUAAGCAUGAAGUUGCAUUUGCUGCGUGCGCAUAAUAUAUUGGUGUAUUAGAUCAGAAAUGCCGAGACUAUUAAAGCACUUGACUGUCUUUUGCAUCAAUGGAUCAUGAUAAUGGAGCUGCAAGAUGUUCUCAUAAAUCCCAUCAAAAAUCACGUCAUAGUCACCACGGUUAGAUACAACAGAAUGCAAGAAGUCAAAUUCAUUGCACAUGCUGCCACAGCUAGACUUUCUCUCUUGCUUCAUUUUUCUCUUUUGGAAAAUCUCUUUCCAAAUGUCAAAGGCAUUUUUCGACAUGUCCUUUCGACCAACCACUUGAGAACCAAUCUCCAACACAUUAAGAGUUUUCUUCUUCUUGUUGAGAAACUGAAGGGUGUUCAAGCAAGAGCGUAUAUCACAUUCAGUGUACUCCACCAGUGCAGUAAGGGCGAUGGUACCCACUUUCAUUCCCUCCUUGUUACAUAUAUGUUUGAGCCUGUUUACCACACGACUAACCGUUGGUUGAGCAAACAUGUGAACCUUUGCUACCUGACGCAAUGGUCUCAAGACAGGUGCAUACAGAUCAUUACAUAUGCAAAUCACUGGUCUUGAAAGCGAUAGUGUUUUCCUCCCCUUUUUUGAGGAUGGCCUUCCUGAUUGCUCUCCUUUAGUGGCAUUUUCCUUCCCAGUACCUGACUUCCUUUCAGCAGAAACCAUCUUUAGAAUAACAUCCACAGCACCUUUGCCAUCACCAAGAGCUCCAUCUAUUUCAUCAAUCACCAAACACUUGGGCCUUGAAUCAGCCAUCACAGAAUUCAUCUGAACCACAUCAAGGAUUUUAGCUUCAAUUGUAGAUGACGAUCUAUCAUCACUAGCAUUAACCUCCACAACUCGAUAUCCACAAUGCUUAGCAGCUACAUGUGCAAGUGUGGUCUUUCCAAGCCCUGGGGGACCACAGAGUAAAAGGAUCUUCUGUUCCGGUGGACCAGUAAGCCUGGACGUCUUGUUCCACAGGUCCUGAAUUCCUUUCACAUUACUGUUUUCAUGAUCCUGAUCGUUAGAAUUUCUAAAGCUCACAUUUGUCCAUCUAUAGUCUCUGCUCCUUCUUGGGAAACUGGAAUCAGAAGAUUUUUUAUGCUGAGUGACAGAAGAAUGACGUCUCAAAGCAGACAGAAUAUCAUCUGAUGUACUCCUAAUUUCAGAUCCAAAAACACGAGAAUCCCACUGUUUCAACCAUAAGAGAACUUCACGAUUUGUCUGUUCAACACUAAGGAGCUCAGUAAAUGAAUUUGGAGCAUAUUUGUCAACCCAAAGUUGUUCAUACACCAUUUGUGUUUCAUCAAGAACCACAUCACUUGAGCCUUCAGAACUAGCUUGCAAUGCCUUGGCGAAAGCAUCUUCCUCUACUCUUCGUAAAAGAACAUUGACAGGCUCCAAUACAAGACCAUUUGAUUGCGAUUUCACAUCCAAUUUCUUGGAUCUUUCUUCCCUCUCCACCCUGCAUAUCUUUGCGUAAACCCUAUCGCCGCCACUCGGCGCCGUCACGGGAAUGAAAUCUCCUUCAAUCUCAGACGCGAAUCUCGACACAAUCUUCUCUUCAUCCACAACAAUUUCCUCUUCAUGCUGCUCAUCCUCAGCGUUCGUCUCCUGCGGAGGCGCGUAUCGGAGCCAGUCCUCUUCGGUCUCUGGCCCAGCAUCGUCAAUUUUUCUUCUCUUCUCGUCGGAUGUGAUAAUAUCUUCAAGAUUCAGUGAAUCUGAACUAUCGGAUCGGAGGCGCUUGUGAUAGUAGGCUUGGGAAACGUUUAGCGGUGAUGGAGAUUGAGGGGGUGAUUGUCGUUCCUCUUCAGGUGGGAAAGGAAAAGAGAGCUCCAGGAGGUCUUCUUCGUGUAGAUGAGAGUUAGCUUCGAGCCAUUCGAGCUCGUCCGGAUUAGGAAUGUCCAUAUCCAUGUCUAUUGGUGCUGAAAUUGUGGUGAUGUCUGCUAGACUGCGUUACAGGAAGAGCAGACUGAAUAGAAAUGGC
rnacentral:misc_RNA from 1 species